rnacentral:rRNA from 1 species
CCUACGGGUGGCUGCAGUGGGGGAUAUUGCACAAUGGGGGGAACCCUGAUGCAGCGACGCCGCGUGGGUGAAGAAGCGCCUCGGCGCGUAAAGCCCUGUCAGCAGGGAAGAAAAUGACGGUACCUGAAGAAGAAGCCCCGGCUAACUACGUGCCAGCAGCCGCGGUAAUACGUAGGGGGCAAGCGUUAUCCGGAUUUACUGGGUGUAAAGGGGGCGCAGACGGCGAUGCAAGCCAGGAGUGAAAGCCCGGGGCCCAACCCCGGGACUGCGUUUGGAACUGGGUGGCUGGAGUGCAGGAGGGGGAGGGGGGAAUCCUGGGGGAGGGGGGAAAUGCG